rnacentral:lncRNA from 13 species
AAUUGCUCGAGGGAAGCACCGUUGAGCUGGAGCCUGGGUGAGGAGUCGCCACAGGUAGCUCUGCAGCAACUGGGAAGGAAAGAGAGCUGGAGAGAAAAAAAAAAAAAGACUACACCUGGCUCAGCUGUACCGAAUCUGAAGGAAUCCAGGUGAAGGGGUUCCACACACAGAGCCCAGUGACCGGGAAGUCAGGCCUGCAUUAGAGGGUCCAAGCACUGCCCACUGGACUUGCCACAGGCAUCCAAAGUGAAUGAGCUCCCCAGUAGCACAUGCAGAAACAAAGCAGAACAGUGCAAAGCUAAGGCCUGCGUCUGAACGGCGAGCACAAGCAGAGCAGACAGAGCCAAAAAUUCAGGGAGGGGCCGGAGGCUGCUGCAGUCUGGGAGAAAGCUCCCAGCAAUGUGGGGAAAAGCUGGACACAGCAGCUGAACCGCCCUGCUCAAGGUGA